ensembl:lncRNA
ACAGCGGCUCGCUUCAAGAGCAGGUGAAGCAAUUUGGGACAAUGCUGAAGACGUUUGCUCGCACUGGGCAAUCAGGGGCCCUCCGGAAGAACCCGGCAACCCAGGAUGACACUGAUGAGGCGGUCCAGGUUAACGUUACACGUUACCUGAAAGGAGCAUCAGACCGUGAAGGAGGAAAAAGCUGCACAGCUGAGAAGGACCCACAGCCGACCCCUUAAACCUAGGCUGACUACUGACACCCCAGCAUCACUGAACUGGAACACUUUCUUUAUCCUGC